CAGUAGUGAGUUUUAUUUUUUUUCUUGAGAAACCUCCAUACUGUUUUCCACAGUGGCUGCACCAAUUUACAUUCCCACCAAGAGUGUAUGAGGUUUCCCUCUUCACCACAUCCUCACUGACAUUUGCUGCACAUUCUUAAUUUAAAUGCAAGAAAAAGGGUAGAAUUUUCUCCUCAGAGAAUGCCAAAAUGAAUUAAGUUACACUGCAUGCAAAGACAUUGGGGUGUCCUUGGUGCUUAUCUGCAGGCGGUUUCAUUUGAGGGGGUGGUCUUUUUCGACCAUUUUAAAAAUGAGCAAUUCUCAACCAAGACAUGCUGGUGGGAUGCAGACAAAUAACUGGGUAGUCUGGAUGUGGCAGCCUCUGUUCUUUCCUGAUGCCCCUUUGAGGUAGGACAU